rnacentral:lncRNA from 1 species
GGACUUCUUGUCAGCGUGCUCACUGCAUUCCAGGGGACUUUUUUUCUCUUACGCCAAAGCCUAAUUCUGAUUUUUAAAAUGUUUUGUUGUUGUUGAUAUUUUGAAUACUUUAUGUUUUAUAGAUAAGUGUUAUUGUUUUUUUUUUAAUAUGGUGGCAUUAUUCCCAUUUACAGUUGCAAACCACCCAUUCUUUCAUAUCCCUUUCAUAUCAGUCAAAGCAGAAAUGCAUAGCCAUCUCUCUAAAAAUCACACUCACCAUCGCUUAUGGAAGGCUUAAUAACUUAACAGGUGGCCUGACCUUGAGUACAUCCUAAGAAAAGGAUUAUUCUGUUGAAACUUUGAAGUAACAAUCCUAAACUCAUUUAUUUUACCGAGGUGUGCAUACACCACACUGAACCAAGUGGCUUGCUUCUGAGUAGUCACAUAGGAGCAAACCUGUUCUUAGAAUAGAAUAGGUUUCUUGACAUUGAAAUCAAAAUCAUGCUCCUUCAAGUCAAGUCUCACUUAUGGCAACCCUUUUCCACGUUUUCUCGGACUCUCCUGGGAGAUAGACAUGUUAUCCCAGUGGUGUUUUAACAUUGCUGUUUACACCAUCAGAUUUGCACCGCGUUUGCUUUGAACUACAUCUCCCAGAAUCCUUCAGCCAGCAGGGCCACUGACCAGUAGAAUAACAUUUCCAAAUGCCGGAAGAUGUUUUGGUGCGCUCCAAAGGUGUUUGACCCUCAGGUUUUUCAAACUCCGAGGCAGUUUACGUAUCUUGCCAACCUCACCUCCCCUUUCUCCUUGUCUUUCCUUAGAGCUUCCAACAGAUGCUGAGCUCCCCUCAGACUCAGGAGAGGACUAUGGAGAGGAAUACCAACCCUUGCUGCCCUCAGAGGAGAGCACGUUCCGGAUCCUGACCGACUCCUUGAAUCCUUUGGAUUACAGGAAGUGGAGACGGAAACCCUGCUACUGGAAGAUGCUGAAGGCCUGCAAGGUAAGGUCUUCCCUUGCACAGGAUCGGUAAUGGCUUCCCCUGCAAAUCCUGAGGGUGUUUGAACCCACCCGCACCAGAAAAAGGACAUGGCGGCCCCUUGGACUCACAAUCCUGUUGUGGAAUCCAUGCAGAACCUGGCCUGCAAAGGUAGGCCAUAUCCCUGCUCUGUUGUGGAUGUGUGUCGUCAAGCGGCUUCUGACUUACAGGGACCUUAAGAAGAUUUUCAAGCAGUGGUUUUGCCCUCACCCCAAAACAAUGAUCUGUUUUUGAAGGCUGUGAGCUGUCAAGACU